rnacentral:rRNA from 1 species
UACGUAAGGGGCAAGCGUUAUCCGGAAUCACUGGGCGUAAAGGGUGCGUAGGUGGUUUGAUAAGUCAGAAGUGAAAGACUACGGCUUAACCGUAGUAAGCUUUUGAAACUGUCGAACUUGAGUGCAGGAGAGGAAAGUGGAAUUCCUAGUGUAGCGGUGAAAUGCGUAGAUAUUAGGAGGAACACCAGUGGCGAAGGCGACUUUCUGGACUGUUACUGACACUGAGGCACGAAAGCGUGGGGAGCGAACAGG